CAAACGGCUCUUUUCAGAGCCACCUCCUUCUCUCCCCAAAGGGACU
rfam:Chaetura pelagica isolate M959 contig19659, whole genome shotgun sequence.